rnacentral:misc_RNA from 1 species
AUGUUGUGAAAAAUAUUGGUUGUGAAAUUGUUUUCUAGUUAGAAUGCUCCAGAUGACAAUUCUUCAAGCGUAAAAGAAGAAUGUCUUCAUAUGUUCAGUGAUAGCCAGCAGCAGUGGACACCUUAGUUGAUUAUUCUUGUAAGAAAAGAACCUUGUGACCAGUUAUUGUAAAGCGUUCUGAAGUGCAAAUUUUUAAGUUAACUUAAUUCACUAUGUAAUGUAGAUAUAAAUGUCUAUGAUCAACCUAGUUACUAAAAAAUUUUCCAAAUUCAUUGCUUGGAUAAGGUGUAUAAUGUCCCAGCUGAACUAUUGCGAAUUUACCAUGAAUGAAUAAGUGUAAAAAAUUGAUAAUUGAU